GUGGGGAAUAUUGCACAAUGGGGGAAACCCUGAUGCAGCGACGCCGCGUGGAGGAAGAAGGUCUUCGGAUUGUAAACUCCUGUCCCAGGGGACGAUAAUGACGGUACCCUGGGAGGAAGCACCGGCUAACUACGUGCCAGCAGCCGCGGUAAAACGUAGGGUGCAAGCGUUGUCCGGAAUUACUGGGUGUAAAGGGAGCGCAGGCGGAUUGGCAAGUUGGGAGUGAAAUCUAUGGGCUCAACCCAUAAAUUGCUUUCAAAACUGUCAGUCUUGAGUGGUGUAGAGGUAGGCGGAAUUCCCGGUGUAGCGGUGGAAUGCGUAGAUAUCGGGAGGAACACCAGUGGCGAAGGCGGCCUACUGGGCACUAACUGACGCUGAGGCUCGAAAGCAUGGGUAGCAAACAGGAUUAGAUACCCUAGUAGUCC
rnacentral:rRNA from 1 species